rnacentral:rRNA from 1 species
UUAAGCAUAUCAAUAAGCGGAGGAAAAGAAACCAACAGGGAUUGCCUUAGUAACGGCGAGUGAAGCGGCAACAGCUCAAAUUUGAAAUCUGGCCUUGGCCCGAAUUGUAAUUUGUAGAGGAUGUCUCGAGCAUGGUGCGGUCUGAGUUCCCUGGAACGGGACGCCAGAGAGGGUGAGAGCCCCGUACAGAUCAGUGCCUCUGUUCAUGUGAGACUCCUUCGACGAGUCGAGUUGUUUGGGAAUGCAGCUCAAAAUGGGUGGUAAAUUUCAUCUAAAGCUAAAUAUUGGCCAGAGACCGAUAGCGCACAAGUAGAGUGAUCGAAAGAUGAAAAGCACUUUGGAAAGAGAGUUAAAUAGCACGUGAAAUUGUUGAAAGGGAAGCGCUCGCAAUCAGACUUGCGCGUAGCUGAUCAUCCGGCGUUCUCGCUGGUGCACUCGGUUGCGUUCAGGCCAGCAUCAGUUUUGGCGGUUGGAUAAAGGCCCUAGGAACGUGGCUGCUCCGGCAGUGUUAUAGCCUAGGGUGCAAUGCAACCCGCUGGGACUGAGGUCCGCGCUCUGCAAGGAUGCUGGCGUAAUGAUUGUGAGCGACCCGUCUUGAAACACGGACCAAGGAGUCUAACAUCUAUGCGAGUGUUCGGGUGUUAAACCCCUACGCGUAAUGAAAGUGAACGGAGGUGAGAGCCCUUUGGGUGCAUCAUCGACCGAUCCUGAUGUCUUCGGAUGGAUUUGAGUAUGAGCAUAGCUGUUGGGACCCGAAAGAUGGUGAACUAUGCUUGGAUAGGGUGAAGCCAGAGGAAACUCUGGUGGAGGCUCGCAGCGGUUCUGACGUGCAAAUCGAUCGUCAAAUCUGAGCAUGGGGGCGAAAGACUAAUCGAACCAU